AUGUGGUUUUUGACUGAGCGGUGGUUGAUUUUGAUGGGGGGUUUGAUAAGCUCUGAAUCAUUGAUGUCAACCUUCCAUUUCUACAUGGUAUCACCUGCGAUUUCCUUCCUUUCUUAUCGUUUACUUUUUUCCAAAAACUUUUCUCUUGCUUCUAUUUUAUCAACUAGUCUAUUUUUUAACUAUUUAUUUUAUCUCAUUUUUUUUUCAUGUUACACAUUCAUUUGUCAAU